rnacentral:rRNA from 1 species
CCUACGGGUGGCAGCAGUGAGGAAUAUUGGUCAAUGGACGAGAGUCUGAACCAGCCAAGUCGCGUGAAGGAUGACUGCCCUAUGGGUUGUAGACUUCUUUUAUAUGGGAAUAAAACGUCCCACGUGUGGGAUUUUGUAUGUACCAUAUGAAUAAGCAUCGGCUAACUCCGUGCCAGCAGCCGUGGUAAUACGGAGGAUCCGAGCGUUAUCCGGAUUUAUUGGGUUUAAAGGGAGCGUAGGUGGGUUGUUAAGUCAGUGGGGAAAGUUUGCGGCUCAACCGUAACAUUGCAGUUGAAACUGGCAGUCUUGAGUGCGGUAGAGGUAUGCGGAAUGCGUGGUGUAGCGGUGAAAUGCUUAGAUAUCACGAAGAACUCCGAUUGCGAAGGCAGUUCACUGUACUGCAACUGACACUGAGGCUCGAAAGUGUGGGGAUCGAACAGGAUUAGAUACCCUAGUAGUC